GACGAACGCUGGCGGCGUGCCUAAUACAUGCAAGUCGAGCGAAGUUUUUCUGGUGCUUGCACUAGAAAAACUUAGCGGCGAACGGGUGAGUAACACGUAAAGAACCUGCCUCAUAGACUGGGACAACUAUUGGAAACGAUAGCUAAUACCGGAUAACAGUAUUUCUCGCAUGGGAGAUAUUUAAAAGUUGGUUAUGCUAACACUAUGAGAUGGCUUUGCGGUGCAUUAGCUAGUUGGUGGGGUAAAGGCCCACCAAGGCGACGAUGCAUAGCCGACCUGAGAGGGUGAUCGGCCACACUGGGACUGAGACACGGCCCAGACUCCUACGGGAGGCAGCAGUAGGGAAUCUUCCGCAAUGGGCGAAAGCCUGACGGAGCAACGCCGCGUGAGUGAAGAAGGAUUUCGGUUCGUAAAGCUCUGCUGUUAGGGAAGAAUGGAUAUGUAGUAACUAUACAUGUAAGAGACGGUACCUAACCAGAAAGCCACGGCUAACUACGUG
rnacentral:rRNA from 1 species